AUACGUAGGGGGCGAGCGUUGUCCGGAAUGAUUGGGCGUAAAGGGCGCGUAGGCGGCCCGGUAAGUCUGGAGAGAAAGUCCUGUUUUUAAGAUGGGAAUUGCUUUGGAUACUGUCGGGCUUGAGUGCAGGAGAGGUAAGUGGAAUUCCCAGUGUAGCGGUGAAAUGCGUAGAGAUUGGGAGGAACACCAGUGGCGAAGGCGACUUACCGGACUGUAACUGACGCUGAGGAGCGAAAGUGUGGGGAGCAAACAGGAUUAGAUACCCUGGUUGUCCACGCCGUAAACGAUGAAUACUAGGUGUGUGGGGACUGACCCCCUCCGUGCCGGAGUCAACACAAUAAGUAUUCCACCUGGGGAGUACGGCCGCAAGGUUGCAACUCAAAGGAAUUGACGGGG
rnacentral:rRNA from 1 species